rnacentral:rRNA from 1 species
CUGUGAAGAUGCAGUGUACCCGCGGCAAGACGGAAAGACCCCGUGAACCUUUACUAUAGCUUGACACUGAACAUUGAGCCUUGAUGUGUAGGAUAGGUGGGAGGCUUUGAAGUGUGGACGCCAGUCUGCAUGGAGCCGACCUUGAAAUACCACCCUUUAAUGUUUGAUGUUCUAACGUUGACCCGUAAUCCGGGUUGCGGACAGUGUCUGGUGGGUAGUUUGACUGGGGCGGUCUCCUCCUAAAGAGUAACGGAGGAGCACGAAGGUUGGCUAAUCCUGGUCGGACAUCAGGAGGUUAGUGCAAUGGCAUAAGCCAGCUUGACUGCGAGCGUGACGGCGCGAGCAGGUGCGAAAGCAGGUCAUAGUGAUCCGGUGGUUCUGAAUGGAAGGGCCAUCGCUCAACGGAUAAAAGGUACUCCGGGGAUAACAGGCUGAUACCGCCCAAGAGUUCAUAUCGACGGCGGUGUUUGGCACCUCGAUGUCGGCUCAUCACAUCCUGGGGCUGAAGUAGGUCCCAAGGGUAUGGCUGUUCGCCAUUUAAAGUGGUACGCGAGCUGGGUUUAGAACGUCGUGAGACAGUUCGGUCCCUAUCUGCCGUGGGCGCUGGAGAACUGAGGGGGGCUGCUCCUAGUACGAGAGGACCGGAGUGGACGCAUCACUGGUGUUCGGGUUGUCAUGCCAAUGGCACUGCCCGGUAGCUAAAUGCGGAAGAGAUAAGUGCUGAAAGCAUCUAAGCACGAAACUUGCC